rnacentral:lncRNA from 10 species
AACGGGGAGUGUCUGCUGGGGAAAUCUCUAAGAUGAAAGCCACUUUGUCACCUUCUUCCUUCCUGCUUGGGACACACAUGUAAUGCUUGGCACUGCUCCCCCUAUCUUGUCACCAUGAGAUGACAGCCAAGAGGAGAAAAAGCCAAAACAGAGAGGAUGACAGUGAAGAAAGAGGAAAAGUGGUUAAACCUCACAUGACAUCAUGGAAACCUGAACAAAGGCACAGAACCACAGAUUUCCCAAUUCUUGCGAAGGAAGCAAUUCAUGUUCCUUCUGGGUGAAGCUGCUGCUGGUUGGGUAUUUAUCCUUCUAGAGCUGAAGCAUCCUGAGUAAUGCAGGGCAAAUCAGAAAUUGAAAUAAAUGAAGCACGUCUUGAGCAGUGUCAUGGCAAAGGAGUCUGGCUUGUAGAAUGUCUGUCUCUGGAAAUUUGGAGAGCUGGGAGCAGGAGAUGUGAUCGUGGUUCACAUGGUUUGGGUUGAGUUCUCUCAGUACCAAUACAAGGCGGAUCGAAAUCAGCAAAAUCAACACCAAAGUCACUACUACAAGAGGCAAAGCAUUAGGU